rnacentral:rRNA from 1 species
AGUGAACGCUGGCGGUAGGCCUAACACAUGCAAGUCGAACGGCAGCACAGUAAGAGCUUGCUCUUACGGGUGGCGAGUGGCGGACGGGUGAGGAAUACAUCGGAAUCUACUUUUUCGUGGGGGAUAACGUAGGGAAACUUACGCUAAUACCGCAUACGACCUACGGGUGAAAGCAGUGGAUCUUCGGACCUUGCGCGAUUGAAUGAGCCGAUGUCGGAUUAGCUAGUUGGCGGGGUAAAGGCCCACCAGGGCGACGAUCCGUAGCUGGUCUGAGAGGAUGAUCAGCCACACUGGAACUGAGACACGGUCCAGACUCCUACGGGAGGCAGCAGUGGGGAAUAUUGGACAAUGGGCGCAAGCCUGAUCCAGCCAUACCGCGUGGGUGAAGAAGGCCUUCGGGUUGUAAAGCCCUUUUGUUGGGAAAGAAAAGCAGCAGGUUAAUACCCCGCUGUUCUGACGGUACCCAAAGAAUAAGCACCGGCUAACUUCGUG